rnacentral:misc_RNA from 1 species
AGGUCGUAACAAGGUUUCCGUAGGUGAACCUGCGGAAGGAUCAUUAAAAAAGAUCGUACCCAGAAAUGGGCAUUCUUAAACCACUGUGAAACCACCUGUUGCUUCGGCGGCAUCCCCUCGCGGGGAGUCAGCCCGUCAGAAGCCCAACACAACCAUUUCUGUAAACUGCAGCAGAAUUAUCAAGUUAAAUCGUUAAAA